rnacentral:rRNA from 1 species
GAUAAACGCUGGCGGCGUGCAUGAGACAUGCAAGUCGAACAAAGGAUCGGGCUUGCUCGAUCCUUAGUGGCGGACGGCUGAGUAACGCGUAGGUGACCUACCCCGAAGUGGGGAAUAACUGCCCGAAAGGGUGGCUAAUACCGCAUGUGGUCGCACGUUCAUUCGUGCGAGUAAAGCCGCAAGGCGCUUCGGGAGGGGCCUGCGUCCGAUUAGCUCGUUGGUGGGGUAAUGGCUUACCAAGGCGACGAUCGGUAGGUGGUCUGAGAGGACGAUCACCCAGACUGGGACUGAGACACGGCCCAGACUCCUACGGGAGGCAGCAGUCGGGAAUUUUGCUCAAUGGGGGAAACCCUGAAGCAGCAACGCCGCGUGAGGGAUGAAGGCCUUCGGGUUGUAAACCUCUUUUGUCAGGGACGAUGAUGACGGUACCUGGCGAAUAAGCCACGGCUAACUACGUG